CUUCGGCUUGACAGAAGGCAAAAAUCCAAGUGUUGCGUGCGAGCGAUUACAGGAUAGCGUGAACAGUAUGGGGGUACUGUUCAUCUAUUUAUAGGCACAGGACGCAGCCCAUGGGGAAUUACAUUCAUGCCCUUUGCAAAGGUUUACAAUCAUAAUACAAAUUAUCAUGGGUCAGUUGGUCAUUUCAUCUUUAAGUCGGUGCAUUUGGAAAUAUGCUCUGAAGCCUUUUGAUUGAUAGCUUCGGCUUCGUGUCAACUUCCGAAGGUGUUUCUUCUUAUGAGACCUUCGGCGACGAAGCAGACCCCCAACACUAUAUAAUAGGAGUUCUGUACAAAAUAAAUAAUUAAUUACAUUAUAAGGAGACAACGGUCUAGCAACCCAAAGUUGACUGGGAGACGACGGCCUAGACCUCUCACGAACUCAUCACAACAUCCUCCAUGCCUCAUCCUGCGGUACCUGUUCUUGACCUAUGGGGGGUGUGAGACAGCAAGAGUGAGCUCAUAUACGUUCAUAGCUCAACAAGUUGUGGGGAAUAAUGUGCAUGAACUCGCCAAAGGUGGGAGCUCACGUGAAGUGUAAGGCUUACCAAAGAGGAUGGUUAGAGAUGAGCAUUGCUUUUAAAGUGGGUCAAAAUUUUAUUAGCAAUUACUAAGUGUAAGUAAAUACCAACCCAAUUAAGUAGUAGAACAAAAGUAAUAACAACACCUGCGAUGCAAUGCAUAUGACAAAUUGAAUUUAGUUCCAUAAAUUAAUCAUGUGAGGGUCCGAGCUGCUCAUGACCGUGAGCACGGUUGAUAUACCAGUUUUACACUCUGCAGAGUCUGCGCAUCUUUACCCACAAGUCAUGUUACCCAUCUGCCACGGGGUUGUACGGGCCCCAUACACCUCUACCAAGGAAGCGAGGCAGGGUAACACUACGGGGCCUUUACAAAGUUCCACUAGCUUCAGAAAACCCGCUACAGUUUAUAGGAAGCUCCAAUGCAGGGAUUUCUCGCCUGACCGCCAUCGCAGGAAAAUCAACCCAAGGACCUCCCUACACUGACCACUCCCCUACUGCCCUUGCCCCUUUCGGGUAAGGUAGUCCUCCACUAGCUUUCCUAGUUAAUCAGCCAAGGGCAUCCCAUACUACCCUUGUGGUAGCACUGUUUUCCCGGGUGGUCGCUCCAUGUUCCAAUUAACAUAAUGAUCUUAUCAUGAACAGUAAAUAACAACUGAUAACAAAAGUAUAAUCAUGAAAAAUGUUUAUCUCUAUACCCAAAUCUACAUAGAGCAAUAGCAGGUACUACCCAAAUAUUCAGUGGUGAACAAGGUAUAAAGAUAGUCAAACUAAGGUAACCUAUUGGGUCCCAUCAAAAUUAAUCUAUGCAGAUCAUUAUGAUUAAUUAGAACAUGACUGGGUAAAAAGAAGUGAUCAAGGGCAUAACUUGCUUGGGACUUGAGAUUCCAGGUACCAACUUGCUCUUCAGGUGACACGUGUCCUCACUGCUAAACAUAGCAAUACAGACAAACAUGUAUAGGCAAAAUUAACAUCACAUCAAACAUAAGAAUAAACUGCAUAAUAAUAUUCUACGCUGCGUAACGAGAUCAUAGGAACAAGAAUCACUAAAUUUGGUUCUACGGUUAUUAAAUUAUGAAUUUCCGAAGUUAUUGAGUACCUAUAAUAGCAUAACUCAUGUGAAUAAUUUUAGUUCAUGUUUCAUGGCCAAACAAAUUUACUAAGUGAUAAAAAAUAUUAAAACAAAAUUAAUGUCUCUUGAAUGACUCAAUUUGGAAUUAAAAUGGAUUUAAUAUGAAUUAUACAAGUUUCUGAAAUUGUUUUGUAUUAAAAAUCGAUUUCUAUAAUCAUUUUUCUAAUUCUCUCUGAUCUCUCGAUUGGGCGCUAAAUUCUGAAAAACCUAGGGACUGAUCUACAAAUAUUUCCUAGACUCAGUGAUCAUCGCCCACGGACGGCGGGUUGAUUUUUAAUAAAGUCGGGGGCUCUUUUGAAAGAAGUGCACGACGAAGGGGUAUUGGUCACUACCGGCCGUUGGAUCAGCGCCCGAUGGUUCAGAUUAGAUUUUUCUUUAUAAUUCAACCGGUACGCUAAGCCCGCUCUUGGAUCGCGAUCCUGUGGUGCAGAUUUUAAAACCCCGCGGCAACCCAGGAUCGCUCGAUCCCAAUCCAACCACCCGGAUCAAUCCAUCAAAGCGGUAUGCGUUGUUUCUGAUCUCAGCCGUUGCACUUGGAUCCAACGGCACCCGGCCGUAGGGAUGGCAACGGGGAAUUCCCCGCCGGGGAAUAGCUCCCCGUCCCCGCGACGAAAAAACUUCCCCGCGGGGAUCCCCACGAACGCUUGCGGGGAACAUUUCUUCCCCAUCCCCGUUCCCCGCGGGGAUAAAUCCCCAACGGGGAUCCCCAUAUCCCCGUUUAAAUUACAAUUAAGACAUACAUACUUUGCUAUUAAUGUUAAAUAUUGUCACUUAUACACAUUGUCAGAUAUAGGAAAUCAUUAUGCAUACAUCAAAAUGAACAGAUUUGUACAAUUAGUGGUCUCUUGAUAAGGUAAUUAUUUAUUUUUAUCGUUAACUAGUACAAAAAACAUAGUCACGUGUAAGUUUAACGGGUCCCCGCGGGGAACGGGGAUGGGGAAUGCUUCCCCGUCCCCAUCCCCGUUUACCCGUCGGGGGUUAAAUUUUCCCCGUUUAUAUCCCCGCGGGGGAAGUUUCUUCCCCAUCCCCUAAUGGAGGAAUUCCACACCGGGAAUCGGGGAUCAGGUCCCCAUUGCCAACUCUACCCGGCCGUCUUCUCCAAUCGACCGAACAGGCAGCGGCGUUCACACCCAUACGGCGGCGCCCGAGAUAUUGUUGUCUCCACCACGCCGGCGAACGCGAAUCCAGCACCAUGGUGUCCAACCGAGGCAUUGAACUAGCGCAACACCAAGCGGAGGAGAUGACGAAUACAGAGGAUGGCUCCUUACCGGUACUCGCGCAGCAGAGCUGGCUGCCCACGGGCAUGCGGAUCCGCGGCGGAUCCCCAACCCUGGUGAGGGAUUCCAGUCGUCGCUUCCAUCUACGGCGCUCGAGCUCGAAACCACCGUGCACCGCGCAUUGGGAUGGAGCUCCCCGGCCAAGUCCGAAGGUGGAAUGGGCUAGCGGCCACCAUCAUCCUAAUGGAAUCGGCCGACGGCGCACCCCCUAUCCCCAGCGCCAAGCUUAAGAUUCGGUUUAUGGUGAGGGUCAUCGGGUGCGGCGUUCACCUUAUAGAUCGAUGCGAGGAGAUCUCGGUCAGGAGGUUGGAACUGCUCUCCGAAUUCCCACGCGACAUCCACGGCGUUAGCAGCGCGCGCGAGCUGCGAGGCCUGUUACGCAGGAAAGGGG
rnacentral:lncRNA from 1 species